ACGUGGUUAAUGCCACGUUAAAAAUUGAAACUGAAAAUCGCCGAUGCAGGGAGUUCAGACCUCCCUGCAUCGACUGUCCAUAGAAUCCUUAACGGAGGUUCCUAUGUGU
rnacentral:ncRNA from 2 species